GACGAACCGUGCGAACGUUGUUCGGAAUCACUGGGCUUAAAGGGCGCGUAGGCGGGCCAUCAAGUCAGAGGUGAAAUCCCCCGGCUCAACCGGGGAACUGCCUUUGAUACUGGCGGUCUGGAGUAAGGUAGGGGCAUGCGGAACUGAUGGUGGAGCGGUGAAAUACGUAGAGAUUGGGAAGAACACCAGUGGCGAAGGCGGCUAUCUGGACGGUUUCUGACACUAAGACUCGAAAGCGUGGGGAGCAAACAGG
rnacentral:rRNA from 1 species